GUUUGAUGACAGAGGAGAGAUUCAUUGCAUAAUAACCAUAUUCAACAAAAACCUUGCCAACACAUGACUAACUUAACCAUCUAUUUAUUUUUGUGUGUUUUUUUUUAGGCCUAUUGAUAUAGUUAAUGUCAUCUUGUGAAAGUAAGCAAUGAAAAAUAAUAUUUUCCAAUUAUGAGAAGCUGAAUUAUGAAAGUGGCACCCACAAUGCACCGGGCUUUUUAGUUCUAUUGCCAUGGAGACCAGAUGAAGGGCUGGAUAAGUGGCGAUGCAGGCGGCGAACGCUAAUGAAAAGCUCAGAUGUUGUCUACAAAAACAGCCUGUCCUUUGAUAUUUUCCUUUGUUUUUUUUCCACUGCACUUGCCUCAGUAAGCACAGGUCAUUAAAUACAUAACAUGACCAUCUGCCUGUUUGCUCUUCAGCCAUUCAUAAAAAUGUACACUUGGGUUUGUCAGCUGUAAAUUCUCUGACCGAAUAACCUACUUGCCAUUUUUUUUGUUAUGAAACAUUCAAUUUGUGAAAGGUAACGAGAAAAUAUGAACUUGAGAAGUAAAGCAUGUUAACAAUUGAUCUUCAAGUUCAUGAAAAAUAUUUGCUAGACUUUGUAUGGUCAGAUAUUAAAUGUAAAAGGAAUCUGUUAAUGGAAAUGGGGAUCUUCCUUCUCUGUUCUUCUCAAUUUGCUCUAGAGAAGCAAACGAGUUAUUGUACAGCAGUUUUUAUACAUAGUUUCUUUCAUCUGGAGAAAUACUAAGAACUACUGGAAUAAAUAUGUUGAAUUUUAAUCUGCCAUAUUUACACAAAGUUUAAAGAUCUAGCAUUAUCCCUGCCCUUUCUUUUGACCAGCAGACACAAGGAACUGUCACCAUUGCAGAAAAAUUACCCAAUGUAGGGUUUGGCAACCAUGGACCAACCCAGUCAACAAGGAAAUAAAGUGUAAAAGAAAAUCUUUCUGAUGAGA